rnacentral:sRNA from 1 species
UGACCGCGAUCGCGCACUGCGGACGCCGCA